UACGAAGGGGGCUAGCGUUGUUCGGAAUCACUGGGCGUAAAGCGCACGUAGGCGGAUUGUUAAGUCAGGGGUGAAAUCCUGGAGCUCAACUCCAGAACUGCCUUUGAUACUGGCGAUCUUGAGUCCGGGAGAGGUGAGUGGAACUGCGAGUGUAGAGGUGAAAUUCGUAGAUAUUCGCAAGAACACCGGUGGCGAAGGCGGGAUCCUGGGCCAGUACUGACGCUGAGGAGCGAAAGCGUGGGGAGCAAACAGG
rnacentral:rRNA from 1 species